rnacentral:sRNA from 1 species
GAAAGAAUUGAUGAACCUUCGCCGUGGGUCCCACCCGCUGUAUAGGGACACCCCAUCUAGUCUUAACGAGCUUUGAUGCAUAAAAAAAUUCUAAAACAAUGCUUUAACAAGUAAUUUUGGGUCCGUAAUAUAGCCCAAAUCACAAAAAUGCGCGAAAAAGUAUUUAAAGGUCAAAAUUUGGGUUCGACAAAAAGUCAAUGGAAAAGUUCGUUUGUCCUGCUUCUUUCGUCGGAAGGCUCUCUUUGGGAUUUCCGAAAAGGUAGCACAUGCCUAGUUUGGCCUCACGGUAUAAAAGUUAUAGAGUUAUAAAGUUUUAACCAAAAAAAACAAAUUAAAAAAAAAGAGGGAUGCAACACGAGGACUUCCCGGGAGGUCUCCCAUCCUAAUACUACUCUCGCCCAAGCCCGCUUAACUGCGGAGUUCUGAUGGGAUCCGGUGUUUUAGUGCUGGUAUGAUCGCAUCCGUUAGUAUAUGCAAUGCAAUCUUAUAUAUUCUUUUUUGAAGACUUGAUGAACCAUUCUUCGUGGGUCCCACCCGCUGUGUAGGGAUACCCCAUCUAGUCUUAACGAGCUUUGCUGCAUUGAAAAAAUUCUAAAACAAUGCUUGAACAAGUAAUCUUUGGUCCGUAAUAUAUCCCAAAUCACAAAAAUACCCGAAAAAGUACUUAAAGGUCAAAAUUUGGGGUCGACAAAAAGUCAAUGGAAAAGUUCCUUUGUCCUGCUUCUUUCGUCGGAGGGCUCUCUUUGGGCUUUCCGAAAAGGUAUCACAUGUCAAGUUUGGCCUCACGGUAUAAAAGUUAUAGAGUCAUAAAGUUUUAACCAAAAAAAACAAAUUAAAAACAAAGAGGGAUACAACACGAGGACUUCUCGGGAGGUCACCCAUCCUAGUACUACUCUCGCCCAAGCACGCUUAACUAAAGGUCAAAAUUUGGAGUCGACAAAAAGUCAAUGGAUAUGUUCCAUUGUCCUGCUACUUUCAUCGUAGGGCUCUCUUUG